AUGCGCCCAGAAGAUGAAGCCAAAACAGCAUUCAAGACUCACCAUGGCCACUUCCAGUUUCGGGUGAUGCCCCUCGGUGUGACUAAUGGUCCACCUACAUUCCAGUGUCUGAUCAACUCGGUGUUUGCCCCAGUAACACGCAAGUAUGUCAUCGCUUUCCUGGAUGAUAUCUUGACUUAUAUUCCAUCAUUUGAUGAGCAUUUGCAGCAUCUUAGACAAGUAUUUGCAACGCUGCGACAACACCAACUCUAUGCCAAGUUUUCCAAGUGCACCUUUGCAAGGCCAUCGAUCAACUAUCUGGGCCAUGUAAUUUCAGCCGAGGGCGUGGCCACAGAGGCGGACAAGACAACUGCAAUUCAAAACUGGCCACAACCAUCGUCUCCCACCGAACUACGAGCAUUUCUAGGAUUAACAGGAUACUACCGCAAAUUCGUCAGAAAUUACAGCAUCGUCAUGAAACCGUUGACAUCUCUUCUCAGUAAGAAAGGUUUCAUGUGGUCUGACGCUGCAACUUCAGCGUUUCAGAAACUGAAAGAGGCCCAUGACCACUACACCGGUGCUCGCCUUGCCAGAUUUCUCUCUGCCGUUCACAGUGGAAACAAAUGCGUGCGACACGGGCAUCGGCGCCGUGUUAUCCCAGCAAGGUCAUCCAAUUGCUUUCCUAAGUCGCGCGCUCGGUGUUAA
rnacentral:rRNA from 1 species